GAAAUUAUAAUGGCCAAAAGAUAAAAAACAAAAGGGACCUCAAAGAUCAAGUCCUACUCUCAUUUCUCCCUCUUUUCCCCGAAGUCUCUCACUCCCCUACCCCGAACUUUUUAUCAUUAGCUUCUCUGUAGAUUCUCCAUUUCAAUUCGUCCUUCUUGUGAUUGGGUCGGGGAUUCUAGCUUCCUUCAAACAAGUUAACGCGAAGCCUCCCCAGAUCAAAUUUGAAGUGAAAAUUCUAGGGUUUCAAAAACCCCCAAUUAGGAGAGAUAGCUAAGAUUUGGGAUUCAUGAGAGCAAUAAAUGGGUUUGGUAAUGGGCGUUUAAUUUGUGUUGUUCUGAAGAGGGAGAUGCAGGGAAUGUCUCUGGAAUGUGUAGGCACACGCCCACACCCUCUGAAUCUGAAUGAUGCUCUCAACUUCGAUACCGGGUCUGUUUCACUCAACUUCUUAACUCCUUUCUUCAAAUCCUUGAAUUUCAAGCUUGGGUUCUGUUUUCAAUUUUGCGAUUUUUUAUUUUGUUUCUAAUUAAUCAUCCCCAAAUUGAAAAAUUAGACUUUGUUGGGACAAUAUCUUCUCAUCUCAUUCAGGUUUUGGGACAUUAGUGUUUACGGCUUGUUGUUUGGUUGCCCAAAAGACCACCGGCACUCUCUUAUCUCACCUUUAUGAGUUCUGCAAUCCCUUGACCAAGCUGCUCGAAAGGAUCUCAUUCCAAUAAAGUUGGGAGUGAAGGCAGCUAAAUUUGCCAAGCAAACAGUUAACACUCAGAUGAAAUCAUUUAAGCGUUAUGGAAUAUUUGCAGAUUGGAGUAAUCCCUACUUGACUCUUGAUCCAAAAUAUAAAGCUUGUUUCUCUGAGUGGAAAGAUCUAUUAGGUCCAUCAUGGGAUUUCAGACAUGAGUCCAUAAUCACAAGGUGAAUCUCAUAUGGAACAACUGCAAGUUGGAGACCAGUGGAUGAGCGG